GUCUAUGGCCAUGCCACCUUGAAUGUGCCCGAUCUUGUCGGAUCUCGGUAUCUAAGCAGGGUCAGGUCUGGUUAGUACUUGGAUGGGAGACCACCUACGAAGACCAGGUGUUGUAGGCA
rnacentral:rRNA from 1 species